UUAUACUUGGGUACUAUAAGCUGGGUGGAUCCAUGACAUUUAGUGCCGUAAAAUUAUCUCCAUGUAGUAGUUCUUGUAAAGAUCUGCUUGCAAUCUGAACAGGCUAAGAAGCAGAACUGCUAGUUCUCAUUUGGUAGUGCGAGUUCAGCUUCUAGCAAUUAAAAAUUCAGAGGAAUACAUAUAAAUUUUAUUGUUCUUACAUAUAAAUUUUUAUUGUUCUUACCGGAGGUUGCUUCUGGAUAUUGCCAAUUGGUAUGAUCUCUUCCUGGAAAAGGAACACUCAUAAGAGAGCCUAUUGGAGUUGUACUCCUUGCCGUGUAUACUGCUCAUGAGUUGUGUUCAUUAACAGUAUCUUGUAUACUGCUCAUGAGUUGUAUUCAUUGUUAAUCCUGUCGCGUAAAGAUAGAAAGUAUAUGUUGUUACUUUGAUGGUAAUAAUUUUAUAUAUGUAUUUAUAAUUGUAUACCAUCAAAAAGUGAUAUUCUAAUUGUCUAACAUGUUUCAGAUAGAAGCAAUGAGUCUCUCAUGACAGGAGUACUCAGUUCGCUUAAGACAUUAGCCGCCUCCGAGGAUGAUGCAUUAGCGGAGUUGGUAAUAAUUGAGCUGGCAACAAGAUGAUGUCUGUUUGAUUCAGCUUUGUUUUCUCCUACUCGCGCUAAGAGAACCCUUUUAUUAGCUUGCAUCUUUCUAUAUAGGCAGAAUACAUAGUUUACCCCCAGAACUAUGGACCAAAUCCCUGUGACACACCUUUUGGGAACAAAAAUUACCUUACACACUCAACAUUUCCAAAGUGUAUCUAAUACACACUACUUUUACACUCGUGAUUUACACGCACAAGAGGCGAGUGAAGAGUUAACAUGUUGUAUCUAAAUCGUCAUCUGGAAACUAUUUGUGCAGGUUUUUCAUUUUUCAUUUUUUUAUUUUCUAAAAAGAUUUCAUCAAUUCUUUUCCAGGUACCAGAUUUUCCCCCCAAGAUCUAAAGGGGAACGAGAAAAUACAAAGAACUAGAGUUUCCAUAUUUGAACACCAAUAUAUUUUGGUUAUGACUCGCGAUUCAAAUCUCCAAAUUGACAAUUGUUUUUGAGAUUGGGUGUUUUUCAGAUUUAGAUUUUGAUUAGCUUCUUGAAAUAAUAAGGAAGGUGAUUUAAUCCCAGAAUGAUUGCUCUUUUUCCAGUUUUGAUAAACUAGAUACAGAAUAAUCCCAAUCGGGUUUUAUUUUUUUCUCUCUAACAACUUUGAUAUGCAGUCCUUUUUCCGAAGUCUUAUUUAUAUAUGGCAAUGACGAAGACCUUGUCUAUGAUCUCAUGAACUGGAAGAGACAUCACCAGUUUUCAAAAUUAUAGCACAGACAAAUCUGAGUUUUAUAAUUAAAUGGGUGGAAUGUUGAACACGACAAAAAAUUAGAGAGUAAUAGUGAAUUUAAACUGUCGGGGUAUUGAAUGGGGCAAAGAAAAUGAAGAUUAGCGGGGAAUUUAUGCGGUUGGGGUGGUGGGUCUUAAAUGUGGUAGGAUGAGGUAGUGGUAUUUUUUUUCUUUUUGCAUCAGUGUUUCGCUUUGGAGAGUUAGCAGUCAUGGUGGUAUAGCUUGGGGAAGAUGAAGAAGAUGGAAGAAUAUUUUGGCAAUUAGGAUAUAAUUAUAAUUUCAAGUAUUUUUUAUUUUUUACAAAAGGUUAAUCACACGUGCCACAUUAUUAUUAGUGUGUGAUUACACUUGCUGAGAAAAAAGUGGCCAAACACUAAAGAAGUGUGUCUUAGACACACUCGGAAAAGGUUGAGUAUGUAAGGUAAUUUUUGUUCCCAAAAGGUGUGUCACAGGGAUUUGGUCCAUAGUUCCGGGGGUAAACUAUGUAUUCCGCCUUCUAUAUAAUUUGCGCCGCCUAGCAUUUUUGACAGCAUGUACUUUUUCAAAGUUUUGACUGGUUUUAUGAUUUUUAUUCUAUAUUAUACCAUAAAAUUAAAGAACCCAAAUAAAUAAUAUCUAUACAUAAUAAUGAAAAUCAGAAAAUGAAAUAGCCUCACUACUUUCUCAAGGUAAGGUAAAGGAUAAGGUCUGUAUACAUACUAUCCUCCUUAGACGGCACAUGUGGGGUUAACUUAGGUUUGUUGUUAAUCAAAGUCAGAAAAUAUUAAUUGAUUAGAAGAGAAGUACUUACCACACCCUAAAAUGCUUCACAAAUAAUAGACAAUUUCACAGUGGAAAGCAAAAGCUGCAGUAAUAAUGAAAAUAAAACACAAUAAAACAACAAAGUAUAAGACAACUCCAAUCAAAAUGGAAAAAAAUGAAAAUUCACACCAAUUUAAACGCUUGUGGCAGUGACGCAUGCGACGACUAAAUAACUAUCAACUUGAUCAUUGUUAUCUUUAUGCUGAAAAAGAUGAAACAAUUGUUUCUUUAGCAUUUGAAAAAAAAAACUUUUUUUUUUCUUCUGAAAUUCAAAUCUUUAGCAAGAAGCCUAAAGCAAAUGAAAUUACUACCAUAACAUUCUCCAAUUUAGCACACAACAGCCAUAAAAUUACAAAAUCACAAAGUAUUAAGAAACAAAGAAAGCCAGCAAAAUCAGGGAGUAUGAAAGAACCCAAAAGACUACGAAAAAGGCAAAAAUGAUUAGGAGAAAACAGAAUAAUAUUUGGGGAAAAAAUCCGGAGAACAACAGUGGAAGGGAAUUGAAGAAGAUGAAGUGAACAACUCCAAAACUUUAUUAAGAGCUAUGAAGCAAUACCCACUUUUUUCUUCUUCUUAAUUAAGCUUAACACCUAGAUCAUUAUCACAAUCGGGCUGAGAUAGAGAAGCAUUUAGGCCUUGGAAAAGAGCAAAUCAGCAAUGGAAAAUUAUUGCAUGCGGCUGAAGCUUAUCGAAAAUGGAUAAUAGCAGAGGCAAAGAGAGAUUCUACAGCCAUUGAAUAGCGAAAUUAAGAAGGAAGUAGAGAACUCGAAAGAAAAAAUACCUAUAGCUUGAGCAGAGACACCCUUGAGAGAGAGAACGCAAAUAGGAAGAAUACCAGUAGAAAUUAAAAGAUCGCUCUCUGAAACAUACUGAGAAACAAAGGACAAGGGUAAUAUCUCAUCCUUAGAUGACACCUGUAUACCUGCAGAGAGCACAAAAGCAC
rnacentral:lncRNA from 1 species